ACGGGAGGCAGCAGUGGGGAAUAUUGGGCAAUGGGCGCAAGCCUGACCCAGCAACGCCGCGUGAGGGAAGAAGGUUGUCGGAUUGUAAACCUCUGUCCCUGGGGAAAAGCAGAAGAUGGUACCCAAGGAGGAAGCCCCGGCUAACUACGUGCCAGCAGCCGCGGUAAUACGUAGGGGGCAAGCGUUGUCCGGAAUGACUGGGCGUAAAGGGCGUGUAGGCGGCCGAUUAAGUCUGAAGUGAAAGUCCCGCUUUCAAGGUGGGAAUUGCUUUGGAGACUGGUUGGCUUGAGUGCGGAAGAGGUAAGUGGAAUUCCCAGUGUAGCGGUGAAAUGCGUAGAGAUUGGGAGGAACACCAGUGGCGAAGGCGACUUACUGGGCCGUAACUGACGCUGAGGCGCGAAAGCGUGGGUAGCAAACAGGAUUAGAUACCCUGGUA
rnacentral:rRNA from 1 species